rnacentral:tRNA from 1 species
GAACUAAUUAUGUUUGUGUUUUGAAAACACAAUUUGGGUUUUUCCCUUAGUUUU